UACAGAGGUCUCAACCGUUGUUCGGAUUCAUUGGGCGUAAAGGGUGCGUAGGCGGUCGUGCAAGUCGGAUGUGAAAUCUCAGGGCUCAACCCUGAAACUGCAUUCGAUACUGCGCGGCUAGAGUGCUGGAGGGGAGACUGGAAUUUACGGUGUAGCAGUGAAAUGCGUAGAGAUCGGCAGGAACACCAGUGGCGAAGGCGGCCACCUAGCCCGCACCUGACGCCUGAGGCGCGACAGCGUGGGGAGCGAACUGG
rnacentral:rRNA from 1 species